UACGAAGGGGGCUAGCGUUGCUCGGAAUGACUGGGCGUAAAGGGCGCGUAGGCGGUUUGGACAGUCAGGCGUGAAAUCCCCGGGCUUAACCUGGGAAUGGCAUUUGGGACUGCAAGGCUUGAGUGCGGCAGAGGAGACUGGAAUUCCUGGUGUAGCAGUGAAAUGCGUAGAUAUCAGGAGGAACACCGAUGGCGAAGGCAGGUCUCUGGGCUGACACUGACGCUCAUGCACGAAAGCGUGGGGAGCAAACAGG
rnacentral:rRNA from 1 species